rnacentral:rRNA from 1 species
UAGGGAAUAUUAGUAAUGGGCGAAAGCCUGAACUAGCGACACCGCGUGUGCGAAGAAGGCCUUCGGGUUGUAAAGCACUUUUAGAGAGGAUGAGGAAGGACGGUACUCUCUGAAUAAGUCUCGGCUAACUACGUGCCAGCAGCCGCGGUAACACGUAGGAGGCAAACGUUAUCCGGAUUUACUGGGCGUAAAGCGGGUGUAGGUGGUUCUGUAAGUAGGGCGUGAAAGCUCACGGCUCAACUGGGAGAGGCCGUUCUAAACUGCA